CGCGCCUACCCACCCUCACGAGCGCACGUCACAUGUGUCCAUCUCGUUUCAUCUUCUUCAAUUAAUCCGGCGAGUUCUUUUGUUGGGCGCCGCCAUAGCCAGCUGCCUGCUAGCUAGAUCACAUGCCCGCAGCACAGCAGCAGCUGGUCAUGUCUUGGAAGCUAAUUCCUUGGCGAAGUGGCAAUGCCAGAGACUUUACGCUGACAAUCAUGGGAUGGAGCAAAGAAAGCGUGGUACGUACGUACGUGGGUAUAGAAUUUCGGCCGGUGUGGAGUUCUUUCUGGUGAAUUAUCGUGCCUGCCCCCUUUCUUUUUCAGAGCUUUCUGUUCAUUCAUGAACUGAUCAGUGGUACUAGAAAGGAAACAAUCAUCGCACACUUUUCCAGGUGAAUGCUCAUGUUCAGAAAGCUAGCAGUAAAAAAAUAUAUAUAUUCCUAGACUACCAGUGAUGUAGCCAUGAUUGGCUGGAUAGGGCUUAUGGAAUCAGCAGCAGGCAAGUAUGAGGGGAGCAUGUAAUUGAGGACCAAAUUCGAGCUUCACGCAAGUUCUGAUGGAACAAAACAAACAACAACAACAACCUGUGG
rnacentral:misc_RNA from 1 species